rnacentral:rRNA from 1 species
GACGUAGGGGGCCAGCGUUGCUCGGAAUUACUGGGUGUAAAGGGUUCGUAGGCGGUGUGGCAAGUCGGGGAGUGAAAUCUCUGGGCUCAACCCAGAGUCUGCUUCCGAAACUGCUGUGCUUGAGUGUGGGAGAGGCGCGUGGAAUUGCAGGUGUAGCGGUGAAAUGCGUAGAUAUCUGCAGGAACACCCGUGGCGAAAGCGGCGCGCUGGACCACUACUGACGCUGAGGAACGAAAGCUAGGGGGAGCAAACAGG